rnacentral:rRNA from 1 species
UACAGAGGUCCCAAGCGUUGUUCGGAUUCAUUGGGCGUAAAGGGUGCGUAGGCGGCGCGGUAAGUCGGAUGUGAAAUCUCGGAGCUUAACUCCGAAACUGCAUUCGAUACUGCCGUGCUUGAGGACUGGAGAGGAGACUGGAAUUUACGGUGUAGCGGUGAAAUGCGUAGAUAUCGUAAGGAAGACCAGUGGCGAAGGCGGGUCUCUGGACAGUUCCUGACGCUGAGGCACGAAGGUCAGGGGAGCAAACAGG